rnacentral:lncRNA from 1 species
GCUUCAGUGGACUUCUCGAAAUUUGUUAAUCUCACUUAUCUGUAAGUAAUUUUGGACAAAAAUUACGAGUUUAACAGUGCCUCAGUAAAGUAUGUUUUUGUUAAAAGAUUUUUGUACGUUUUGGUUGAAGCAGGGACUUGAGUUUUAACAGCAUCACAGGCAAAGUUUCUCCAACCCUUCUGAACCUGAAUUCCCUCAUUUUCCUGUAAGGAUAUAUGUAUAUAAUCUAGUGGUUUUGGCAGUCCUAUUUAAAUUAGUUUUUCAUUUUCGAAACUGAAGUUCAUAUGAAUCAGAUUUCUUGGGAGCAAUAACCUCUCUGGGAGCUUAUCAGGCAUGAUUAGCCCUUCACUUACUACUAUGUGAGCUGUUUUCUUCCUUCGUUUUAAUUUUUUUUUCUGUUACAUACUGACAUCAUGUAUGUCCUCUAAUAUGUCGAACUUGAAAGAUUGGAUGUGUCUUAGUCUUCUUUUUUACUUCGUCCUUUUGAUCAACAUGUGUGCCGUCUGUCUUUGCAGUGACUUGUCAUACAAUAUGCUCUCAGG